rnacentral:rRNA from 1 species
CCUACGGGAGGCUGCAGUGAGGAAUAUUGGUCAAUGGACGAGAGUCUGAACCAGCCAAGCAGCGUGAAGGAUGACUGCCCUAUGGGUUGUAAACUUCUUUUAUAUGGGAAUAAAAUGUUCCACGUGUGGGGUUUUGUAUGUACCAUAUGAAUAAGGAUCGGCUAACUCCGUGCCAGCAGCCGCGGUAAUACGGAGGAUUCGAGCGUUAUCCGGAUUUAUUGGGUUUAAAGGGAGCGUAGGUGGAAUGUUAAGUCAGUUGUGAAAGUUUGCGGCUCAACCGUAAAAUUGCAGUUGAAACUGGCAGUCUUGAGUACAGGAGAGGUAGGCGGAAUUCGUGGUGUAGCGGUGAAAUGCUUAGAUAUCACGAGGAACUCCGAUUGCGAAGGCAGCUCACUGGACUGCAACUGACACUGAGGCUCGAAAGUGUGGGGAUCAAACAGGAUUAGAUACCCUUGUAGUC